rnacentral:sRNA from 1 species
GAUUAACACCCGCAUCCUCUUUUCAACCUAACCUAACGUCAUUAACAUCCUCGGCUCUCCUUGUAAACAAAAAUAUUUGAGCUGACAUUACAGAUUAUGUUAGAAAUUUGCCUUUAGUGAGAGGGAGUCCAUCAACAGGUGCCAAGGUGCCUGUUCUUAACAAAAAAAAAAACAAAAACAAAAAUGGGGCUAAUGUUCUGUCAUAACCAAUUAAAGCAAGUAUCAAGAGCUAUGGGAGUUUUGUACAUUUUUAAAAUUUGUUUUUUCUUGCUUGACAAUCUGAAUUGCUACAACAAAGCAUCCGAAAAAGAUGCUUUGUUGUAGCAAUUCGCUGGUGGCCGCACCACGCCUUGAUAAUCACGUUCAAUUGGGAUAUGAAGUUACAAACUCUGUUGAUAUUGUCUUCGCUUGGAUGUUUUGAGAUAUCUGCUCUGAUAAGCAGCAGCAGUAUUGGAGAAUAUGUUGCACAGAGAGGGUCCUGCGUUUGCGGUAUAAAUUUGUAAUAUUGCUGUUUAUCAGGUGUUGGUGGGUACUAAUUGUGUGACUCCUGGGCGUUAAACGUUAAAAAUACGAUUUUUUUCUUUGUCUAUAUUUGUUGGAUACAUCGGUCUUACAUAUUCAGCGUUUAUUUGAUUGUAAUGUUGGUGCUGAUACUCUCCAGAAAAUUUGAUUCUGUUUAACAUUCACUUAUUGCUUUACAGGACAAUUCAAAGAACAUUUUAUUCAUAAAAAUUAUUUUAAAAAAUA